rnacentral:rRNA from 1 species
GGAAUAUUGCACAAUGGGCGCAAGCCUGAUGCAGCCAUGCCGCGUGUAUGAAGAAGGCCUUCGGGUUGUAAAGUACUUUCAGCGGGGAGGAAGGUGUUGUGGUUAAUAACCACAGCAAUUGACGUUACCCGCAGAAGAAGCACCGGCUAACUCCGUGCCAGCAGCCGCGGUAAUACGGAGGGUGCAAGCGUUAAUCGGAAUUACUGGGCGUAAAGCGCACGCA